GUGGGAAAAUAUGCUAAUAUAUUUAUACUAUUUGUUUGAUACAGCGAUAGAAGACCCGGAUCGUGUGCAUAAAACGUUGCGCUGGAAAUCAAAGGUUUUUAUAGGGUGUGGAUCUGUAGUUUUCUAGUCUAUUUUUUAGAUUGCUCCGACUUUAAAUUCAUCAUGAUCGUUGCGAUGCACUUAGUUUACAUGUCUGUUCAGUGGACUUAAAAAUGGAUGCCCUCGGAAGUCCAAGAACCAAAUACCAGCAAUGACGUUGGAACCAACGUACAAGAUGUACUGUCAACAUCAGCAUGGUUACACCGCAGGCCACGCCCUCCUCCAAUACCAGCAGAAUAGUCAAACCACAGGUCACGCCCUCCAUCAACUCCUACUGAGGAUUUAGACGGGGAUUCGUCCUGUAAAGGAUUUGAAUGCAAACUGAUUUGACUGUUGUUUUGAUAGUCUUAAAUGUGUUCAUUUCGUCUACAGUUGCUUUGGCAGCUCCAUAUUCCACAAUAACUUCGAAAGAUUUUGAAAUCGUUAUAUCGUUACAAGCUUCAUAAGUCCUUGGUUCCAUAUCAAGAUAUGGAAAAGAAGUACAUACGGGGAGUUAUCUUUCUUUCUUCUUGAAAGUUGCUAAAAUGUUUUAUUUUUAUGGAAUGUUGUGAGAAAUAUUGUAACGCUACUGUUUACAGUUAUAUAAAUGUACUAUAUAUUAGCCAUUUAGUAUUUUUUUUUUAAUUUUCGUUUUGAUUGUCUUUCAUAUGUAAUCGUAAAAUAAAUUUGAUGUAAUAAAUAAAAUUGCAAAAUAUACAA